UCCAUGGUGGCUCAGACGGUAAAGCAUCUGCCUGCAAUGCAGGAGACUUGGGUUCGAUCCCUGGGUCGGGAA
rnacentral:tRNA from 1 species